rnacentral:rRNA from 1 species
CAGUCGCCGCGGGAAUACGAAGGGUGCAAGCGUUACUCGGAAUUACUGGGCGUAAAGCGUGCGUAGGUGGUGGUUUAAGUCCGUUGUGAAAGCCCUGGGCUCAACCUGGGAAUUGCAGUGGAUACUGGGUCACUAGAGUGUGGUAGAGGAUAGUGGAAUUUCCGGUGUAGCAGUGAAAUGCGUAGAGAUCGGAAGGAACAUCUGUGGCGAAGGCGACUAUCUGGGCCAACACUGACACUGAGGCACGAAAGCGUGGGGAGCAAACAGGAUUAGAUACCCGAGUAGUCCCUGUCUCUUAUAU